UACGGAGGGUGCGAGCGUUGUCCGGAAUCAUUGGGCGUAAAGGGCGCGUAGGCGGUCUGGUAAGCGUGUGGUGAAAGCCCGGGGCUCAACCCCGGGUCGGCCGUGCGAACUGCUGGACUGGAGCAGAUCAGAGGCAGGCGGAAUUCCGGGUGUAGCGGUGGAAUGCGUAGAGAUCCGGAAGAACACCGGUGGCGAAGGCGGCCUGCUGGGAUCUUGCUGACGCUGAGGCGCGACAGCGUGGGGAGCAAACAGG
rnacentral:rRNA from 1 species